rnacentral:rRNA from 1 species
AUUGAACGCUGGCGGCAUGCCUUACACAUGCAAGUCGAACGGUAACAGGUUUCUGGAUGCUGAUGAGUGGUGAACGGGGGAGUAAUACUUCGGAACGUGCCCGACCGUGGUGGAUAAUGAGGCGAAAGCUUGGCUAAUACCGCAUACGACCUACUGAUGAAAACGGGGGAUCUCCGGAGCUCGCCGGGACGUAGGGGUCGAUGGCGGAUUAGGUAGUUGGUGGGGUAAAAGCUUACCAAGCCGACGAUCUGUAGCUGGUCUGAGAGGAUGAUCAGCCACACUGGGACUGAGACACGGCCCAGACUCCUACGGGAGGCAGCAGUGGGGAAUUUUGGACAAUGGGCGAAAGCCUGAUCCAGCCAUGCCGCGUGCGGGAUGAAGGCCUUUGGGUUGUAAAGUGCUUUUGUACGGAAAGAAAAGCCUCUUUCUAAUACAGAGGGGUCAUGACGGUACCGUAAGAAUAAGCACCGGCUAACUACGUG